rnacentral:rRNA from 1 species
GUGGGGAAUAUUGGACAAUGGGGGCAACCCUGAUCCAGCCAUGCCGCGUGUGUGAAGAAGGCCUUUUGGUUGUAAAGCACUUUAAGCGAGGAGGAGGCUUACCUGGUUAAUACCUGGGAUAAGUGGACGUUACUCGCAGAAUAAGCACCGGCUAACUCUGUGCCAGCAGCCGCGGUAAUACAGAGGGUGCAAGCGUUAAUCGGAUUUACUGGGCGUAAAGCGCGCGUAGGUGGCUAAUUAAGUCAAAUGUGAAAUCCCCGAGCUUAACUUGGGAAUUGCAUUCGAUACUGGUUAGCUAGAGUAUGGGAGAGGAUGGUAGAAUUCCAGGUGUAGCGGUGAAAUGCGUAGAGAUCUGGAGGAAUACCGAUGGCGAAGGCAGCCAUCUGGCCUAAUACUGACACUGAGGUGCGAAAGCAUGGGGAGCAAACAGGAUUAGAUACCCGGGUAGUCC